CUAAAAUUCAUGCAGUAGAAACUGCUAGAUGAACUGAUCCGCCACCGCCUCCAGGUUAAAAACCUACCCGUGCUGCAAUCGGCAUCAAGCACACCAGCAUGCUCACUUCGCCUCCAGUGGCACCGGUCUCCACAUAGUUGCGCUCCAGCUCGAAAGCUGCUCCACGUUUUGCCCCUCCACACGAUUUGAUUGCAUCUCACUCAAGCACACUAAUUUGUUGGAUUCCGCAUGCAAGCGAGUUUAUUGGAUUCUGCGUCUUGAUCGUUGAAGCUACGAGAAAGCAGCGAUCAUCACGAGUUUGCUGCCUACGGACGCUGUAACAUGUAUUUGCUACCCUGGAGUCUCCGCUGAUUUAGUCAGAUACACAGGAAUAUUCUCUUCAGAAAAUUUCAGGAGUUGGGUUAAGGCUAUCUCAGGACCCAAGUUAAGCUACCCUACAUGCAACUAGGGUUGACGGCACUGUAUGUUCAUCCUUUGAUCUGAAUUUUAUAUGGUGCUUUUAUCCAACAUGCAAUUUAGGUAACUGGUGUUUUUAUGAAGCUGGAGAAACAAAUAUAGAUCCACUACUGCAAAGAAUAUUUGAAUGACCGGUGAUUUCUAUGUAUUUUAUUGGAUUUCUAAUGAAGUUCAGUUAGAUCAGUUUCUAUCGUUAUGGGAAGAGAUCCAGUCUGUCUUUUUGCUUGACACUAUAAAAUCCUCCUUGAACCUCUCCGCGCAUGGUGUUUAUUCAGCAAAGAGUGCUUAUGAAGCUCGGUUUUUUCGCAAAAUUCAUUCCAUGAACUUGCCAGAGCUGAACCUAAAGUGCAAUUAUUCCUCCGGUUGCUGUCUUUGAACCAUCUUAUGGACUUCUGACAAGGUGCUACAUUGCUGCUUCUGUGAUGACGCGUUAGAAUCUGAUGUGCACCUAUUUCUUGGGUGCCCCUUUAGGAAAUUGAUAUGGUAGCCCCAACCCAGAUUGUUCCCAUUGCCUUCAACUCAAACUAUAUUGCCAGUUGGUCGACGCAAUGUCUAAAAAAACGCAAGAAGCAUCAUAAAAUCAUUAGCUUUCAGCCGUUGUGUAUAUUAUUUGGCAUAUAUUGAAGACUAGAAGCCGACGUGUCCUCGACGACAAGAAAUUUUGCUGGAUAGAUUGCCCAUCUGGCCUAAGAUAAUCUGCUGGCUGGGUUAGAUUUUAGAGGACUAAUAACUGCCUGUUAUUUUUGUUUCGUUUUUCUCUUUGUUUCUCCCAAGCUGCUUAAGCCUCUGUACAGUUAUACCCCAUCUAUAGUACAGUACAUCACUGUAUUUCGAUGGUAACAAAUAAUAGUUGACAGUCUCUUUCACAUAUUUCUUUUUUCUCUUACUACUAUGAGAUUACGCCAGGUUUGUGGUGAUGAGAGAUGAACAUAUUUUUUAAAGUAUUACCUUUGUGAGUUACUCAACGAAAAAUAAUAAAAAAUUGCAGGGAAAAAAAAUCUGCUAAUUGUUUGUGUGAAUUGUUUUAGUUAUAUAAUAACCCUACUGUAGUUGAUUGAUAUAUUUGAGUAGUACAAAUGGUGCAUGAGAUAAAUGAGACGUUGAAAGAGCAACUUACAAAGAGAGUACAAGUCAUGUUAUAAUAAUCAUUAUGGGUGUUAUCGUUAGUUGAUUUUACACAAUCAUAAUACGUAUAGUUGAACUAUUUUAUAAAUCAAUCCCGCCGCAACGCGCGGGGUAUCAUCUAGUAACCUAAAUAAGGGGGGUCAUUGGAAAAAAUCCCAAAAUAAAUAAAAACAUUGAUAUAACAUUAUAUAAAAUGGAAAUGUGCGAGAAUAUGUGGCAAUAAA